rnacentral:rRNA from 1 species
CGGGUGAGUAACGCGUGAGGAACCUGCCUUUCAGUGGGGGACAACAGUUGGAAACGACUGCUAAUACCGCAUAACGUAUUUGUGUCGCAUGGCAUGGAUACCAAAGAUUUAUCGCUGAGAGAUGGCCUCGCGUCUGAUUAGCUAGUUGGUAGGGUAACGGCCUACCAAGGCGACGAUCAGUAGCCGGACUGAGAGGUUGGCCGGCCACAUUGGGACUGAGAUACGGCCCAGACUCCUACGGAAGGCAGCAG